UCUGACACAAAAGAAAACGGAUCCGUCCCCCAUUCACUUUCAGUGGUGUUCUUGACGGAUCCUCGUCGGCUAUGUUAAACAUAAUGCAACCGGAUCUGUUCGUAACGAAUGCAGACGGUUGUAUUAUCUGAACGGAUCCGCACCUA